rnacentral:rRNA from 1 species
AUUGAACGCUGGCGGCAGGCCUAACACAUGCAAGUCGAACGGUAACAGGAAGAAGCUUGCUUCUUUGCUGACGAGUGGCGGACGGGUGAGUAAUUUCUGGGAAACUGCCUGAUGGAGGGGGAUACCUACUGGAAACGUUAGCUAAUACCGCAUACCGUCGCAAGACCAAAGAGGGGGACCUUCGGGCCUCUUGCCAUCGGUUUUGCCCAGAUGGGAUUAGCUAGUAGGUGGGGUAACGGCUCACCUAGGCGACGAUCCCUAGCUGGUCUGAGAGGAUGACCAGCCACACUGGAACUGAGACACGGUCCAGACUCCUACGGGAGGCAGCAGUGGGGAAUAUUGCACAAUGGGCGCAAGCCUGAUGCAGCCAUGCCGCGUGUAUGAAGAAGGCCUUCGGGUUGUAAAGUACUUUCAGCGGGGAGGAAGGGAGUAAAGUUAAUACCUUUGCUCAUUGACGUUACCCGCAGAAGAAGCACCGGCUAACUCCGUG